CGAGUCGCGCGGGCGGUCGCGUCGGCGCCCCCCGGGGCGUCGCCGAGGAACGUCCGGGCUCCGCAGGGCAGGGUGGUGGCUAACGGCCACCCGGGGCGACCCGCGAGACAGUGCCACAGAAAACAGACCGCCGGGGCCGUUUCGGCGGCACCCGGUAAGGGUGAAACGGUGGUGUAAGAGACCACCAGCGCCCGGGGUGACCCGGGCGGCUCGGUAAACCUCACCCGGAGCAAGGCCGAGAGGGACCGCCGCGAGGCGGUCCUGCGCGGACGAUCGAGGGCUGCCCGCCCGAGUCCGCGGGUGGGCCGCUGGAGGCUGUCGGCAACGGCAGUCCUAGAUGGAUGACCGCCUCCCCCGGGGCCGCGAGGGCCCGGGGAGACAGAACCCGGCGUACAGCGCGACUCGUCUG
rnacentral:RNase_P_RNA from 1 species